GAUGAACGCUAGCGAUAGGCUUAACACAUGCAAGUCGAGGGGCAUCACGAGGUAGCAAUACUUUGGUGGCGACCGGCGUACGGGUGCGUAACACGUAUGCAACCUUCCUGUAAGUGUGGGAUAGCCUCCUGAAAGGGAGAUUAAUACCUCAUGAUAUGUAUUUGCUGCAUGGCAUUUACAUUAAACAUUUAUGGCUUACAGAUGGGCAUGCGUUCCAUUAGGCAGUUGGUGUGGUAACGGCUCACCAAACCUACGAUGGAUAGGGGUUCUGAGAGGAAGGUCCCCCACACUGGAACUGAGACACGGUCCAGACUCCUACGGGGGCAGCAGUGGGGGAUCUUGCACAAUGGGCGAAAGCCUGAUGCAGCGACGCCGCGUGAGCGAAGAAGGCCUCGGUUGUAAAGCUCUGUCUGGAGGGACGGAACAAAAGUAGAACGGUACCGUACCGGAGGAAGGCCGACGGCGUAACUACGUAGCCAGCACGCCGCGGUAACUAGUACUACG
rnacentral:rRNA from 1 species